rnacentral:rRNA from 1 species
AACGGCCGCGGUAUCCUGACCGUGCGAAGGUAGCGUAAUCAUUUGUCUUUUAAAUAGAGACCUGUAUGAAUGGCAUAACGAGGGUUUAACUGUCUCCUUCCCCUAGUCAAUGAAAUUGAUCUGCCCGUGCAGAAGCGGACAUAAAUACAUAAGACGAGAAGACCCUAUGGAGCUUUAGACAAAAGAUCAAACAUGUAAAGAAACCAAGUUAACCAAAAGGAACACAAAGGCCACGAAACCCGACGUAAACUGAUCCAAAUGUCUUCGGUUGGGGCGACCAUGGGGGAGAAAAAAGCCCCCACGAGGAACAGGGACUAAUCCCUAAGCCAAGAGAGACAUCUCUAAGCAACAGAAAAUCUGACCAAAAAUGACCCAGAAUACUAAUUCUGAUCAACGAACCAAGUUACCCUAGGGAUAACAGCGCAAUCCUUUCCCAGAGUCCAUAUCGACGAAAGGGUUUACGACCUCGAUGUUGGAUCAGGACAUCCUAAUGGUGCAGCCGCUAUUAAGGGUUCGUUU